rnacentral:rRNA from 1 species
UACGUAGGCAGCGAGCGUUGUUCGGAGUUACUGGGCGUAAAGAGUGCGUAGGCGGUUUUCUAAGUUUGGUGUGAAAUCUCCCGGCUCAACUGGGAGGGUGCGCCGAAGACUGGAAGGCUUGAGUAUGGGAGAGGUAAGCGGAAUUCCUGGUGUAGCGGUGAAAUGCGUAGAUAUCAGGAGGAACACCGGUGGCGAAGGCGGCGUUCUGGACUGUAACUGACACUGAUGAACGAAAGCCAGGGGAGCAAACGGG